CCGGAGUCUGGCCUAGCCGUGCCACUAUGUCCCUGGUCCCUUCACUAAAUGGUUGUCUGGCCAAUAUUGGGGGUACGCCCACCAAAGGCCGUGUAGACCAGCCGGGCUCCCCCCUGGGCGGGUGGACAGGCAGCUUGGCAUGGCCUUGUGAACUCUCUGUGCCCCACACCAAUCCGGCAGCCAGGGCUGGGCUGGUGCGGCGGGUUUCAUUCACCCUCCGUUGCCCACCCAGCGUACAUGCAUGCCCCGGGCACCAGCAAAGAAUGCAACGCCACUGCUCCUAUGGAUUGGAGUCCAUGGGGAAUCUUCAAGAAUGUGUUGAGCAUUUCACUUCAAGGGAAAGACCCUGCAUAUGUGGAUUUUUGUCUCGCUUUCCAAAGUGUUUAAGUUUUCAUAAUUUGUUAUGGAUCUAUCUUUGCUGUAUAUGGGAAGUACAUAGGAAGCUGUCCGAUGGUCCAAUUAGCUCAGCACCAUCCGUAGAGAUUGACAGUUGCUCUCCAGAGGUUUAGGCAUGAAUCUUUUCCACCCUACAACAGAUGCCAAAAAUGGAACCUGAGACCUUCUGCAGGCAAGGCAGUUAUUCUAAUACUGAGAUAUGGUCCUUCCCCUAGGCCAGGCAUAGGCAAACUCAGCCCUCCAGAUGUUUUGGGACUACUAGCUAACAGGACCAGUGGUCAGGGAGGAUGAGAAUUGUAGUUUCAAAAAUAACUGGAAGGCCGAGUUUGCCUAUGCCUGCCCUAGGCAUUAUCAUUGCAUCUCAGAAGCUACUGUUUCACAAUGUCUUAAUACUUAUUAUUUAUUUAUGUAUUUAUUUAUUUCUAGGAAUACAAAACCUGGAAGUUUUGCAGCCUUGUGUGGUCAUUGGGUUAGCUGGUGCCAUUUUAUAUAGACAAG